rnacentral:misc_RNA from 1 species
CUUUUUUUAACUGCUGUGCAAUAGUACAUAAUAUUCCAUCUCUUUUCAAAAACAUGGGGUUUUGCAAUGGUUGCAAUUUCCUUUAUCAUCAAUACAAUAACAACAACUAAUCCUUUAUCUCAAACUAGUUGGGGUUAACUACAUGGAUCCUUUUCAACUCUAUUAGACACCAGUUUUGUCUCAAUAUCUAAAACUUGUAAAUCCUGUAAUACCACUUCCCUCCGUGUCAUCUUAAAGCUUCCUCUUUCCCUCCUCACUCUUUCUCCUACUAACUUAUCGCAAUUUCCUCUAUCAUCACUCAAUCUAUCAAUUCCUUUAAUCUCUGGUGGUUUCAAUAUUCUUGCAAUGUGCAUGUGGUUUGCUCUUUUCAACUGCACUUUGUUGCACUAUCGCUGCUCUGUAUUAAUGAAGAGAAAAGAAUUACUUUGUUUCUUGUUAGUAACUUAUUAGAGUUAAUAAUAAUAUUUGAGAAUCAAUAUUCAUUCUUCUGUCAUA